rnacentral:rRNA from 1 species
CACGGAGUUAGCCGAUCCUUAUUCUUACGAUACCGUCAAGCCCCAACACGUUGGAGUAUUUCUUCUCGUACAAAAGCAGUUUACAAUCCAUAGGACCGUCAUCCUGCACGCGGCAUGGCUGGAUCAGGCUUGCGCCCAUUGUCCAAUAUUCCUCACUGCUGCCUCCCGUAGGAGUCUGGUCCGUGUCUCAGUACCAGUGUGGGGGAUCUCCCUCUCAGGACCCCUACCCAUCGUAGCCUUGGUAAGCCGUUACCUUACCAACAAGCUAAUGGGACGCAUGCUCAUCUUUCACCGUUGUGACUUUAAUAGUUCAACCAUGCGGCUGUACUAUACUAUGAGGUAUUAAUCCAAAUUUCUCUGGGCUAUCCCUCUGUGAAAGGCAGAUUGCAUACGCGUUACGCACCCGUGCGCCGGUCUCUAGCACCGAAGUACUAUACCCCUCGACUUGCAUGUGUUAAGCCUGCCGCUAGCGUUCAUCCUGAGCCAGGAUA